AGAAAAAAUGGAAGAGCAGAGGCCCAAGGCCAGCGAGAACAAGCCUGUGAUGACAGAAUGAGCAUCUCCUGAAACAGCAUUUGAUGCUUAAGGGUGUGUUUAGUUCACGCUAAAAUUAGAACUUAAAACGAAAGCUUCCUGAGAUUUUUCAUGCACGGUAUAGUGUCCCUUUCUAGCCUGUAGAAUUUUGGAUGCUCUGGUUGAACGUGCACCGACUGUUGCUGUUACAGUGAGAUGGAUUGGAUCCCUCAGCUACCUAUGAAUCCCUGAUC
rnacentral:sRNA from 1 species